UGGCUCAGAUGGUAAAGCAUCUGCUUGCAACGCAGGAGACCUGGGUUCAAUCCCUG
rnacentral:tRNA from 1 species